rnacentral:rRNA from 1 species
UACGUAGGGACCAAGCGUUGUUCGGAUUUACUGGGCGUAAAGGGCGCGUAGGCGGCGCGGUAAGUCACUUGUGAAAUCUCUGAGCUUAACUCAGAACGGCCAAGUGAUACUGCAGUGCUAGAGUGUGGAAGGGGCAAUCGGAAUUCUUGGUGUAGCGGUGAAAUGCGUAGAUAUCAAGAGGAACACCUGAGGUGAAGACGGGUCGCUGGGCCAACACUGACGCUGAGGCGCGAAAGCCAGGGGAGCAAACGGG